rnacentral:rRNA from 1 species
UACAGAGGUCCCGAGCGUUGUUCGGAUUCAUUGGGCGUAAAGGGUGCGUAGGCGGCGGGGUAAGUUUGAUGUGAAAUCCCGGGGCUCAACCCUGGAAUUGCAUUGAAUACUACCUUGCUAGAGUACCGGAGAGGAAACUGGAAUUUACGGUGUAGCAGUGAAAUGCGUAGAGAUCGUAAGGAAGACCAGUGGCGAAGGCGGGUCUCUGGACAGUUCCUGACGCUGAGACGCGAAAGCGUGGGGAGCGAACAGG